rnacentral:lncRNA from 1 species
UGCCUAGUACAUGCAUACAACUUUUUCUUACAAUUGUAUCAUUGAAAAACAAAUAUGGUCUGUGAGACUACAUAUACAAUUGAAUGACAUAUACAUCAACAUCACUCAUAAUAUACACAGUUAUGUUCAAAAUACAAAAUUCUUUGAAUUCACUCUUAAUAUACACAAUUAGCUACAAAAUUCUUUGAAUUAACAACAAAUUCACAUUAAAUAAGAAUAGCUCAACUGAUUCCUCCUCAUGCGUUGUCAUUGUUUAUAUUCGAUUACCUGUAUACAAUUUUGUAACAAUUACCAUUGAUUUUUUGUAGGCAAAAAAGUUUGCUGAUAUUGUUGAUCGACAAUGUUUCCAUUUCAUACCUCUUACUUUUUUUAACUUCCUUAUAAUGCUUUCACUAUUCUCCCAUUAUGCAAACUUGAGCAUUAUCGAAUUCAACCAUAAGCAAUAUUUUUACACUUGAUCUGCAACCAACAAAGUGAGAACGUCAAAUAAGACCCAUUAAAUCCACAAACUUACAUGAUAUUAUGUAGUUAAUGUAAUAACAAAACUGACAUUCUAAUUAGUUUAUCGUGAUCCUUAAUCUUACACUUUGGUAUUGGAUUUGUGAUCCUCAUUCCUCAAACAACCCCAACUUCAUGAAUCCAUAUAACACACUACAUUUAAUUUGAUGUUAUGACCCAAUUCCACGUAUUUAAGAAAAUUAGCUUACAUAUAAUAUAUAUAAGCUACCUGUUGGAUGUUUUUAAGAAAAAUCUAUGCUCAUACUAAUACUUGGUUUGUAAAAGACACAAUAUACUUAACUCAAGAAAGGGAACAAUAGAGUGCAUUAUCUGUUUGUCAACAUAUCAGUCUUCUGAACAUCACAUCAUCUCUCACUCUAAGCAGUCAGCUUAUUAUAGUUGUGAAUCAGCUAAUUCAUCUUGAGUUCUUCUAGUCUUGAAACAUGGCUUAAAACCAACAUGUAUUUCAUAUCAUACUUGUUUUGCUGUUCAGCUGGUCCUUGAUGAUGCAAUUCGCUAGAUUUUUUUAAACCUUGCCCGUUAUUAAGAGUAGCUACCGCAGAUAUAUUUGUUUCAACAAAUUGUUAUCUUAACUUUUUGGCUUCAAAAAACAUGAUUUAUUCCCUAUAAGUAGAAAACGUGAUUGAAAAUGUUAAGGACUCCACUAAUAAUAUUCAAAUUUUGUGUACAUUAGAGAUACAACAUAGACGUUCUCAUAUAAUCAUUUGAGUGGUUUAAUCAUAGUUAGCACCUACGUUGUGAGAGUUUUAUUCAAAGCAAGUGAAUAUCUGUUGAAAGAUAAAUAAUGCAAAUGCAUUACAUGGAUAUAUUACUUACAUGUGAUUACUGAUGACACAAUAAGGGCCUGUAGUGAUUCCACGAAUGACCUGAAGAUCAAAGUUAGAGUUAAUGAAUCGCUGACAUCACUUCACAGGCAUUUUGUUUUAUUUGAUGGUUGAAAUUGGUUUCAGUAAAAACUAUCACACCCUGGGUAUUUCUACCUGUUAUCCAACAGUGGUUUUUAUAUGAAAAUUUUGGAAAGCUUCCUAUUAGGGGUGGGCAAAAAAACCGAAAACCCGAAAAAACCGAGUCAAAACCAGUCAAAACCGAGUUGACCAAAAACCGGUCAAGACCGAACCGAAACCGAACCGAACCAUAUAGAUAUUGGUCCGGUCUCGGUUUCUAUUUUUAUAAAACCGAGGGAACCGAACCGACCCGAAUUACAUGGAUAUUGGGCUUUUCUUCUAUUUAGUACUAGAUUUGGUUUGAUUUGGUCCAUGUCUUAUUUUGUUUAAAGCCCAAAACUUAAGAACAAUCUUUAAUAUUUUAGUGAACUAAAGGCCCAAUAACAAAACCCAGAACCGAGUUUCGGACCGAAACCGGACCGACUAUAUUUGGUCCGGCUCGGUCCGGUUAUAUUCAAAUAUUUUCGGUCCAUGAACCGAAACCGAACCGAAAAUUUAAAAUCGGUUUGGUCCCAGUCCUAUUACUUUUUGGGACUGGACCGGACCGUGCCCACCCCUACUUCCUAUAAUAGAAUCUCUAAAACAACCCGAGAGUAUGAGUCAUUCACUGGAAUAACUCCUAAGGUAACUCCCAAGAGAGACAUUUAUUUGUGGGAUUAGAUCAUUCAAUCAUAGACAUUUAUGAUUUAUAAUUUUACAACUAUAAUACACAUGGACAUCCAACCACAGAUCAUUCAUUCUUCUGAAAUAAUAUAACAAUGAUCUAUAGCAGCAAGGUAAAGUAUGACAGUGGGAAAGAAACAUGCAAGUUUACAUACUCAAGUUCAUGGAUAUCAAAUUAAUUAAUCCUCUCUGAAACAAUAAUUUAGGGUUAUCCACUAUGUCAACAAAAAAAGGUAAGCAAAUAAAUGAUUAAACAAAAAACUGAAAACGUUUUGAUACUAACCCGUGGAAGAGAAUUUUGCAGUGAAAAAAGUCUCAAGUCUCAACAGAGGAAAGAAUAUGUGAUCUGCCAUACGACCUGGGCCAUAAAAGGACACAAAAUUAAUGUUUAUAAAGAACAGGGGAGUUGUUGUAGAUAUUGUUAUUGUUACGUUUCGAUCUCAUCAGUCCUUUGAAUUUUUCCACCAAAUCGAACAAUUAAUAAACUUUGAACUCAAUAUCCAUAAUUGGAAAAGUGACUACCCGAUCAACACUAUACUCUAUUUUAAAUAUUAGCGAGUGUUAAGCUUAAUUGUGGUUUUUAUUUACUAUAUGUACUAUAUUCACUAUUGGAAUAUGCAAUGAUGAGUACUGGGUUGCGAUUUGAAUUCAUAAUGUCUAGUUGGUUUGUUGCAAGUAAACAAUAUAUGUGAGUACUUAUAACAUUUAAAUCGAUCAAUUUGAAAUAUAAAAAAAUAAACUACCUUUGGCAAUGAAAUUGCUUCGAUUCCUUCCCAGUGUGCCUUCAUAGUCCAAUGUACAUGCCCGGAUUUGAAUGCGUCAGUUGCAGCCUUUAAGUCUGUUUGAAGUAAAUCUCUUAUAAUCCUUCAUUCAUUUGAUAGCCUUAAUGUGGCCAUUAUAUCUGCCAUGUAAUUAGUAGUGUGGCCAAACCAACUUGCCAUUAAUCCCAGUACUUCACAUGUGUUCUAAUCGUAUCCCAAUAUCCUGCAUUCUGAAGGUUCCCUUUCAAUGAUCGGUAUUAACUUUUUAUGAUCUCCACGGUCGUUUGAACCAUUAACAUUCAAAAAUAUGUGGUGUUUUACCAGAUCUAUAUGUUAAUCCUAAUACUAUUAACUGGCCUGUAUCAUGUGAGAUGAAAGAUCUCAUGAAUGGGUUUGUUUAGCAUUGCAUGAUACAAUAUGUCCUCCUUUCUCAACACCUGCAAUAGAUGUUUCAAGAAGGUGGGUAAGCCAGCUUUCAUUUGGAAAAGGGUGACGACUGAAGAUCUCUUUCUAUUGUGAACCACAACUUCAGUGUAAGCCACAACAAUUUUAUUCUAAUUAGAAGGACUGCGCAUCAGAAUGUUGGAUAUGCCUCAAAUUUUGCAAUGGGCUUAAUAGGUUUUUUUUUUUUUUUUUUUUUUUUUUGGAAAAUUUCCAAACAUGUUCAUCAAGGCCAUGUUGGAGAAAGCGAGGUAUGCAGUGUUACCAAUAAGCCUAGGGAGAGACAUGUGGUUAAACACUUGAACUUAAGCUUUACCAAUUACAUUUGUCUUCAAGGGCGACACAAUUAAUAGUAUGACAAUUUCGCUACCUGUAAGAAAACAUAUACCAAACCCAUUUGAGUAUCACUAAAUUUUUUUCGUUUUUAUUAAGACAGUUUUCCAAAUUUGUAACUAAUACCCUGAAUGAAAAACUUAAUCAUGUGAAAUCUUACCAGUGAUUCCAAGUUCAAUAGACGUGUAGACUUUGCAGCCUUUUUGUGCGAUCCAUCGUUUUCUGGAUAACUGUAAUUACAUAAGAAAACAAAAGUAAGCUAACAACAGAAAUGUGAUAACGUUGAUCAAUUUUUAAAGCUAACAUUUUUCAAGUGGACUAACAUAAGUAGUUCAUUCAUACUAUAUAUAGAUUUUGGAUAAAAACUUAGAAUCCUAAUAUCAUGGAUAUUUAAAAUUGAGAAUCAUGACUAUAUUGUAAACUGGUGUAAAAAAAUGGUGAACACAUAAACAAAUCUAUAAAAUAGCCAAAUGAGAUAAUUUAGUUGGAAUAAUUGCCUAAAAUUGUAUGGAAAUAUUUCGAUUAACAUAUCACAACAAUACUUUGAUUGGUAUUGUUCAUCUGAUUGUGAUCCUAAAUUCUCUUAAUAACGAAAUCAAGGCAAGUAAAAUGCAUUUAAAGAGUAGUAGCUCAACUGACCUCAAUGUAUUUCUACUGUAAACGCUUUUGAGUGCCGCAGGAACUGGCGAUGGGCCUGCAGAUAUGACAAGAUAGUUUUAAGAAAUUCUACAGCCAGGUAAAAAUUGAAUAAGCAUGCGUCCUUGACAAUUUGAACUCGAAAGGUUUCAUUCUUUGGUUUUAUUUAAUUUAGUUAACAAUGCUAAAUUUGCAACAUUCAGUCAUUAUUAAACUCUAUUUUAUGAGGAACAUACAGGAAACUGAAUAGAAAUUUAACCUUAGGAGAUUUAUACAAAAUUCCAGAAAAAUAAAUCACAAAAAUUCUAUACAUAAAUAAUAGUAACUCAACUAACCUCAAUGUAAUUCCACGUAGAGGCUAUGCUUGAGUUAUGUUAAUAGUAAAUCAAUGUCAUCUAAGUCCACAUCCUCACCCUCAUACUGCAAAAACUACAAAAAUGAAACUUGCAAUUAAUUUGUAAAUGCUUUUCAAGCAACUCAAGUUAUAUUUCAUUUGCUAAAACAUAGUACAACUAAUAAACAAUUGAAGUUGUAUUUCAUUUGCUAAAGGCUUUUCAAGCAACUCAAGUUAUACACUUUCUUCAAUUUCUGGCUUUUCUGAAACAUGGGUAUUUGAAAUUUCUCCAUCUGAAGAACAAAAGACAACUUGAGCACUCAAAAUUGAAAAUUUUCUAAACCAAGAAUUAAGUUCUUAUUGUUUAAAAGUUUCCAAAUGGAAAAUCAUUAAAGAAGAGAUGAUCAUCAUAGUCUAAUCAGUAGAGAGUUUUACCUCUUUCAAUUUCCAUUGAUAACAGACCGGUGAGAGGUUGAUGGUAGGAAUAGAGAUGUGGGAGAAGAGAGAGACAUAGAGAUGUGUGAGAGGGACGUAUAGUUUAAUCUAGGUCUAAACCUAAUCUUUAGAAAUGAUCUCCAAAUCUUAAUGAAUAUAUCUAGGUCUAUAAUCUUUUGUGCAAAUCUUGACCCUUCCAAGAUCACAACUUUGAAUUAGACAGUUGCACCAGAAUAUUAAGUGGCAGAAAAUAAAAAUUGUAAUACAAAAAUUAUGUCACCAUUAUGAUGUCCAGGUAAAAAC